rnacentral:rRNA from 1 species
GUUUUGAUCCUAAACUUAAUACUAUUUUUAAUCAAAAUUAUACAUGCAAGCACCCGCACACCAGUGAGAAUGCCCAAAGACACAAAAAGGAGCAGGUAUCAGGCACAAACCACCUUGGCCAACAACACCUUGUUACACCACACCUACACCAGGUCUACAGCAGUAAUUAAAAUUAGGCCAUAAGUGCAAACUUGACCUAGCUAUGAUCAACAAUGCCGGUAAAUUCCGUGCCAGCAACCGCGGUUAUACGAAAGGCCACAAAUAAUUAACCAACGGCGCAAAGCGUGACUAGAUCACACACCCAGACUUUUAAAGAACCAAACCUAAGCUCAGCAGUAAUAUGCCAAAACUAAAAGAAGUACCAGAAGCCUUUAAAACUAGGGAUCAUUAACUCACGAAAACUAAGAAACAAACUAGGAUUAGAUACCCUACUAUGCUUAGUCGUAACCCCAGACUCAACCAACACUCCGCCAGAGAACUACAAGUGAAAAACUUAAAACCCAAAGGAUUUGACGGUGCUCCACCCAACCUAGAGGAGCCUGUUCU